rnacentral:rRNA from 1 species
AGAGUUUGAUCCUGGCUCAGGACGAACGCUUGCGGCGUGCCUAAGAAAUGCAAGUCGAGCGGGGAAUUAGAUUUCGGUUUAGUUCCUAGCGGCGAACGGUCGCGUAACACGUAAGCAACCUGCCCCGAAGACCGGGACAACAUCUCGAAAGGGGUGCUAAUACCGGAUGUGGCCAUUGGGGGACAUCCCCUAGUGAUUAAAUCCAGCAAUGGGCUUCGGGAGGGGCUUGCGGCCUAUCAGCUAGUUGGUGGGGUAACGGCCUACCAAGGCGACGACGGGUAGCUGGUCUGAGAGGACGGCCAGCCGGACUGGGACUGAGAUACGGCCCAGACUCCUACGGGGGCAGCAAUUAGGAAUCUUGCGCAAUGGGCGAAAGCCUGACGCAGCGACGCCGCGUGGAGGAGGAAGUCCUUCGGGAUGUAAACUCCUUUUUCCGGGGAAGAAACAAAUGACGGUACCCGGUGAAUAAGCCCCGGCUAACUACGUGCCAGCAGCCGCGGUAAUAC